rnacentral:rRNA from 1 species
GGAACACAGGUGCUGCAUGGCUGUCGUCAGCUCGUGUCGUGAGAUGUUGGGUUAAGUCCCGCAACGAGCGCAACCCUUGUCAUUAGUUGCCAUCAUUUGGUUGGGCACUCUAAUGAGACUGCCGGUGACAAACCGGAGGAAGGUGGGGAUGACGUCAAGUCCUCAUGGCCCUUAUGGGUAGGGCUUCACACGUCAUACAAUGGUCGGUACAGAGGGUUGCCAACCCGCGAGGGGGAGCUAAUCCCACAAAGCCGAUUGCAGUCCGGAUCGCAGUCUGCAACUCGACUGCGUGAAGUCGGAAUCGCUAGUAAUCGUGGAUCAGCAUGUCACGGUGAAUACGUUCCCGGGUCUU